rnacentral:rRNA from 1 species
GUUCGGGAUAGCCACUGGAAACGGUGAUUAAUACCGGAUACUCCUUCUUGUUAUAAGACAAGUCGGGAAAGUUUUUCGCUAAGGGAUCAGUCUAUGUUCCAUCAGCUUGUUGGUGAGGUAAUGGCUCACCAAGGCUAUGACGGAUAUCUGGUUUGAGAGGAUGAUCAGACACACUGGAACUGAGACACGGUCCAGACUCCUACGGGAGGCAGCAGUGAGGAAUAUUGCACAAUGGAGGAAACUCUGAUGCAGCAACGCCGCGUGGAGGAUGGCGCAUUUCGGUGUGUAAACUCCUUUUAUUAGGGAAGAUAAUGACGGUACCUAAUGAAUAAGCACCGGCUAACUCCGUGCCAGCAGCCGCGGUAAUACGGAGGGUGCAAGCGUUACUCGGAAUCACUGGGCGUAAAGGGUGCGUAGGCUGGCUUUUAAGUCAGAUGUGAAAUCCAAUGGCUCAACCAUUGAACUGCAUUUGAAACUGAAAGCCUAGAGUUCAGAAGGGGCAGAUGGAAUUAGUGGUGUAGGGGUAAAAUCCGUAGAUAUCACUAGGAAUAUCAAAAGCGAAGGCGAUCUGCUGGGAUGAUACUGACGCU